UUUAAUCCUACGGUCAUACAACCAUUUCAUUUUUUUAUUAUCCGGUUCAGUUGCGGCGGGAAUCUGACGCAACGGAACAGGCUCUGGUUUUUUAUUUGUCUUACCAGAAAUCUGGCAAAUGUGACAUGUUUUAACAUAUUUGGAUACAUCACGUUUUAAGCAAGGCCAAAAAAAACUUGCACCUUUUGCAGUCAAAAGUACCUCUCACUCCAGAAUAAGCCAUCAUGAGCGAGUUUUAUCACCUGUGAGCAAAAUGCUGUAGGAAUUACUAUUUGAACAACUGGUUCCUUCUGGAAAGUUUUCGUCUGAGGUAUCCAUUUCCUUAUCAGAACCCCGUCUCGAAUGAAAUACCCCUGUGCGGCAUUGUCAUCUGUCCUUACCUGUGAAAAUAAUACAUUCAAUGUGGAAUCUGCUUUUUGUUCCUUACUUAACUCACCCUGAGACACGGAGAGAGGUAGGAUACGUGGCCAAUGAUCCGCCAGAGACGAUUCUGCACGUUUUAUAGUUGCAGUUGCUCGACUGGCAGGACGUGUAACCAUACUCGUUGGAACAUCAGGUAACUUCUUUCAGGUAAACUCUCAAUGCCCCCAGUAGAAACAGUUUUAGGUGAAACAAUCAAAGGUGAAGGCGCAUCACUCCAAACUCGCCCACCCACCAGAUCGUUUCCCAAAAUCACAGAAACUCCUUUUACUGGAAGGGCUGGUCUCACACAGAGUUUAACUUCACUCUGAAUCAAAUCAGAACACAAAACAACCUUAUGUAAAGGUACAGACAUUUUAGUUAAUCCAAUUCCACAGAUUGAUAGCGAAUCCCCGGUGAAAGUUUCCUUUGAAAAAGUCUAAAAUAAAUGACGCAGAUGAGCCAGUAUCCCUUAAGAUUUUUACUGGAAUUUUUUCACCCUGCAGAAGAGACACAAAUCCAUCAGAGACAAAAGGUGAAAAAACAGAAUUUGAACAGACAAUCUUUUUUCCAGUGUCCAUGACCCAAACAAUAGUUACAUAUAAGGGACACAUCAGUUUUACCAGAAAAUGUUGUAUUUACAUAACGUGGGGUGAUUGACAUAUUUGAAGAUGGUAAUACAUUAUCCAUGCGUUCAUUUUCCAAGCAGCCAACAUCAAAGCAGGAUUUAUGAAUCAACUCAUACUCAUCUGCUAAAACUGCUGCUUCAGCCGCAGUAGACACCUUACGCUCUGCAAUAUAAAUAGCCGUUUGACUUGGCAGCGUGUUCUUAAACUGCUCCAAAACAAGUAAAUUGACCAGAUCCUCAUACGAUUCAACAGCAGAUGCACUACACCAAAUCGUGUAAAACAAUUCUAAUUCACGCACUAAUUCUACAUGUGUUUGAGUGAAACGUUUUCUCAUCCCGCAAAACUUCUGGCGAUAUGCCUCUGGAACCAUUUCAUAUGCCUUAAGAACCGCACUUUUAACCUUCUCAUAAUUUUGACUAUCAGCCCAGCUCAAAGCAGAAAAAACUCUUUGCGCCUUACCAGUCAGAACACAUUGCAGCAUUAAAGUGCGUUCCGUUUCAGGCCAUUUUUGUUUAUCUGCAACAUGUUCAAACAAGACAAAAAAAAUAUCCACAUCUUCCUCAUUAAAUGAAGGCACCAAUCGCAAAUUUGCCGCUACAUUAAAAUUAAGAGAAAGUGGGCCACUUUCUACCACUUCAUGUACCGUCACCGUCACCGAACAUUCUUAUCUUACUUUCUUUCAUAAGGUCAAGCCGCUGUUAACAAAUCUAAUUUCCUUUUUUCUAAAACCUGCUGCGCAAAUACGGUCUCCUGUUCUAGUUUUCGUUUCUCCAUUUCCAUCUUAAACUCCAUUUUACGCUGUUCCAUUUGGAGAAGAACUAAUUCUUUUUGUUGUUCAAAUGACAGUGCUACCGAAGACGGCACAAUUGCCGGUAAAUCUACUGACUCUGGAACAGACGACAUAAUUUGUUGAUUUGUAAGUGCUGUUUUUACAAUGAUUCUAAUAUUCUCCUUUAGUUUUUUAUUAUUAGUAGAAAGGCUAAUUCCGUAAUGCGUUGUGACUUCAAUCAAUUGAUCUUUCAUUAAUAGAUUAAGAAUCUGCUCAGACAGACUUUCAAAAAAUUCACUAACUUCAAUAGAUGUCAUAACUACACUUAUUCCAUACAAAAUAGCUCUUUAAAAUCCAAUACUUACUCACUAGCUGCAAAACCACCAAGAAAAGGAUACCCUGGAGAUUCAACUUCACACCCUCCCUAAAAAUAAAUAUAACUAAGUAGACCCUAAUCUUCAAGCAUACAGUGGCGGGUUGUUAUGCACCUGAUACCGCAAGUUGAGAAGAGCAACCAAUUAAAUUGGCGAUUCCCUCAAACCUCGGCAUGCUCCCGAGACUUAGCUCUAACCACCAAUCUGCCCAAAAAUAACAAACUUAAACAAAAAAUUCGACAUACCCAAAGAGGACAUGCCACUAAAUCCUAACAGUGAAGUUAAUCCCAGGGUUUCCCACUAAAUACAUCCGUGGACAAAAAAUAAAAAAAGAUUUUAACAAUUCAAAACAAACUUCUAAAUCCAGUAACAAAAUAUUCACAAAUUCAAAAUUAAAUAUCUCAACCAAAUUAAUCUUAAUAAAUACAAAUCCAAAAACAAUAAACAAAGCAAAAUAUUAUCUACUUACCAAAUUUGUUCCAAAAACAAACAAAAAAAACCCUAACACAAUUCCAAAUCAAAACUAGGUUUUAGGACGAGCCCCCAUUUGUUGCGGUCACAAAGGAUCACUACAAAUAAGGAGAAGACGAGUACAUGAGUACAUGAACUUUUAUUUUGCAUUUGUGCUUAAAAUGAACCAGAUAUUUGCCAUGUAUGGAACAAAGAGCUUAGAAUCAGCCACCAAAUCCAGAGCCGAACCCCACCAACAGAAAUGAUCCGCUUUUAUAGGGAGCAAUGAACACAAUGAAGCCGGUGCUCCCAAUCACGCAAUCAGCCCGUCACCUGCAAACAAUCAGAUAAAACACACACACCACGAGGAACAGCCAACAAGGGCGUCACACCAGCAUACUGACCGGACAUGUGACCCAUUGAGCAUGUUUGGGAUGCUCUGGAUCAGCGUAUACGACAGCGUGUUGCAGUUCCUGCCAAUAUCUAGCAACUUCGCACAGCCAUUGAAGAGGAGUGGACCAACAUCCCACAGGCUACAACUCUAUGUGAAGGAGAUGUGUUGCACUGCGUGAGGCAAAUGGGGGUCACAGCAGAUACUGACUGGUUUUCAGACCCCCCCCUAUACAAUUUAUUGUGGCCAGCCUAAGUCACACCUGUGCCCUGGUGGUUCGAGGGCCCUAUGCAACUUGCAUAUAGGGAGGAUCGGCACUGAAUCCAGCCCUCUACACUUCUCAGUUUCUCCAGAAGACCAAGGUUAAAUCACAUGUGCUUCAGUUUGAGUCUCACAAGAGUUAUUUUUCUCAGAUUUGCUGAAGUACCAAUGUCUGCAAUCAAAAGACAGAGAUCUAAUUAUGAAUAAUUUCUCAUUAAUUUUUCCCAAGACUAAAUCUCACAGGUAAACAAAUGCAAAUUUCUAAAUGAACAAAUAUAUAUUUACAGGUUACUGUAUGUUUCCAUUAAUUCUGACUUAUUAAUUUGUUGUAGCAACACAAGCAAAAUGAUAACUGUAAUUUAUCAUUUAUAAACCAUCAGUGUGUCUGGUUUGAUCUGUCGGUGGAUAAACAGCUUCUGCUCGAUGUUUGUGGCUGAAGCUUUUCUUCAUUUUCUCUCCUGUUAAUAAGAAGCUCACAAUCUUCCACUCCACACAAAACAUCUUUACACAGAAAUAAAGUGGAUCCAAGGUCAGAUAUGAUUGACAGCACACAACACUUAAUAACACAUCAGUAGAUACAGAUAUCUAAUCCAAUAUUUCACUCUUCUGCUAGUUUUCAUACAGGGCCAGAAUUCAUCUGAAAAUAUAAGAUCAGAAAAUGCUUGUUGAUUUUUUUUUUUAUAUUAAAAGAGAUUAACGUGUGAACGGAAACUGAGGUUAGAGGAGGAUUCAAACACAACCAGAUAAAUAUCACAGUUCAGUGUUUCAGGUCAAUCUUUUAGACAUUUUAAGAGUUACUAUUGUGGGCUUUUUGAAGAAAAUGUUUCUCAAAUUACUUUUGACCUGUUUCUGUCUGUGGCAUCUGGAUGGUGAGUUUGAAAUGUGUUUUUAUGACUUCAGUUGUUUCUGUUCUGGUACCAUGUAAAGUUUUUUUUUUUUAAACCAACAAAUAGUUAUUCACAGCUUUAAUUUUUGACAAACUUGGUUCUUUAGGUGUGUUUGGUGAUGAUGAAGUGGAGUCAGUGUUUGUGAAUGAGGGAGAUUCAGUCACUCUGAACUCUAAUCUUACUGAAAUAAAUGAUGAUGAGAUUCAGUGGUGGUUUUGGAUUGAAGACACUUUAAUAGCUGAAAUCAAUGUAACGGCCGACAGAUUCACUGUAUAUGAUGAUGUUCUUGAUGGGAGAUUCAGAGACAGACUGAAACUGGACAAUCAAACUGGAUCUCUGACCAUCACAAACACCACAACUGAACAUGUUGGAGUUUAUCAACUAGAGAUCAACCAUAUGAGCAUAAUUUUCAUUCUCGCUGUCCAUGAUUCACUGUAUAUGAUGAUGUUCUUGAUGGGAGAUUCAGAGACAGACUGAAACUGGACAAUCAAACUGGAUCUCUGACCAUCACAAACAUCACAACUGAACAUGCCGGAGAUUAUGUGCUACUCACAAUUGGAGCAAAACUGUCAUCAAAAGCUUUCAGAGUUUCUGUCUACAACUCUGUCCACUGUUGUGGUCCUACUGAAGCUGUGAUCCGAUUGGUCCUCUCUGCUCUGGUGGGCGUGGCUACUGUCAUUCUUCUGGUUUAUGACAUCAGAUCCAGAAGAGCUGAACGAGAUCAAGAACAGAUUCACACAUCCGGUUGAUUAGAUUUUGCAUAUGCAUUUGUGAGAUGUAUUGAUUUAUGGCUUUAUGUUCAUCUUUUCCAGGAAGUAUUGAAAUCUAAAGCAGAAUGCUGAACUUUAAAGAUUCUUCCAGUGUGUUUUUUUGUUCUUCUAGUGUUUUUCUCAUAAAAAUACUGAUGAUUAUUUGAGCUUCUCUCUCUUUCAGUGUCAGAUAUUUAUUAUUUGAACAGCUUGUUAAUAUUUCAAAACAAAUUAAUAAAGAGACACAUAUCUCACUUUACUACUGCUGCUGUAUAUUUGUUUUAUGUAUUAUCUGUUUAAAUUUUUAUAUUAUGUAUUUGCUUGCUUUUAUCAAUAAAGUUUUCUC